rnacentral:rRNA from 1 species
GUCCAGACUCCUACGGGAGGCAGCAGUGAGGAAUAUUGGUCAAUGGGCUUACGCCUGAACCAGCCAAGUCGCGUGAGGGAAGACUGCCCUAUGGGUUGUAAACCUCUUUUGUCAGGGAGCAACGCCGGCUACGUGUAGCCGGACUGAGAGUACCUGAAGAAAAAGCAUCGGCUAACUCCGUGCCAGCAGCCGCGGUAAUACGGAGGAUGCGAGCGUUAUCCAGAUUUAUUGGGUUUAAAGGGUGCGUAGGCGGAAUGCCAAGUCAGCGAUAAAAUCGCGGGGCUCAACCUCGCUCCGCCGUUGAAACUGGCGUUCUUGAGUGGGCGAGAAGUAUGCGGAAUGCGUGGUGUAGCGGUGAAAUGCAUAGAUAUCACGCAGAACUCCGAUUGCGAAGGCAGCAUGCCGGCUCCACACUGGCGCUGAGGCACGAAAGCGUGGGUAUCGAACAGGAUUAGAUACCCCAGUA